rnacentral:pre_miRNA from 1 species
AACUUACUCCCUCCGUUCGGAAUUACUUGUCUCGGAAAUGGAUGUAUCUAGAACUAGUUCUAGAUACAUCCAUUUCCGAGACAAGUAAUUCCGAACGGAGGGAGUAUUUG